UGGGGAUUGGGGUGUUGCAGGGAAUGGGACCAUGGAGAGCCGACAAAAGAUGAAUACCAACCCAGCUGCUCUCAGGCUUGCCCAGGAAGCAGGAUGACUGCAAGAAAAGGAAUCCCAGCUAGGCAAGAGACAGCAGUAAAUAUAAUGCCUCUAAACUGAUUCUGCUGGGCCAAACUGCAAUCAAAAUAUUAUUUCCUAUUCUCCAGGAACGUUCAGACAUGCUCGGCUCGGAGAGAGAAUAUUUCUCACAGGAGCGAGUUUUUGAUUUUUUGCAUUGUUGGCUCAGAACCAGAAUAUGAUCUAGGCUUCUGUAAUGCCCAUUGAGCCUGGCAAACUGAACAAACAUUGAUGCACCGACGAAGAAAACAGCUAGCAAGAACGAAGACACAAGUUCAGAAAUUAACAUUUUCUGACAGAUCCAUUCAGCAAACGACAGGCUGAUCAGUCAAAGGCGGUGAUCUCUAAACUUCCCUUCAGCCACAGCUGCCACGUCACAGCACAAGGAGCAGAUACACGACACAAGAGGUACAACCGUCAGAGCAGACAUGACGCGGACACCAAUUCCCAAACUGCUGGUGUUAUAUAUGUCAUUUUUUAGAAACAUUCCAGUGGUACGGUUGAAAAUGAGGCCUAUUUAAGCAAAACAUUUCCAUUUCAAAUAGGAUGUACAGUUUAUGGGAUUAGAAGGAACACACUUCACAAUCAACCUGAGCAUUUUGGGGAGGGCUUGAGAGAAACUAUUUUUGUACCACCGCACUCAAAUGUAAUGGUUUUUGCACAGCACGAUCACACUACUUUCUACAGUAGUGGUUCUCAAACCUAUCUGAUCCCCCCCGGUGUUUUGUCUGUAGUAGUUUAUGCCACCAAUGGCUGCCCAGAAGUAAGGGUGGCGUGGUAUGGCAUUGUCACCCUUACUUCUCUGCUGCUGCUGGUGGUGCUGCCUUCAGAGCUUGGCACCCGGCCAGCAGCCACCACGCUCCCCCUGCCCAGCUCUGAAGGCAGUGCCAUUCCAUGCCACGUUUACUUCUAUGCUGCAGUUGGCAGUGGUGCUGUCUUCAGAGCCGGGUGUCUGGCCUGCAGCUGCUGCUCUCCGGAUGCCCAGCUCUGAAUGCACGCAGUAAGUUUUUUCCCCUCUAAAGCUUCUCACACACCCACAGAAUAUAUUCCACACACACCCCCUCCAGUUUGAGACCCCCAGUUCUAUAGGACUGUCUAAGGACUUCAGGGUAGGCUAGCAAGACGGUCGUUGGGGAUAUAUUCCAAGCUUAACUGACUGAUUUCUCACACAAAAAUGUGUGUGUAUAUAUAUAUAAACUUAAGGUUCUCCAGCCACCUGCUGCAGAAGUGGAGACCAACUGCUCUAUUUGUUUUCAUGGCUCUCUCGGAGGAAGUGCUUUCAUUCUUAAAAAAUUACCCUUUACUUUGGUUGCUUCGUACCAUGGGGCCUUGCAGCCGUGAGCUUUCCUGGCCCCAAAGACUGCCUCUGACUCACAUGAACCUUCAGAAAUAUUCAACGAGCUAAGUGCAUAAGUCUUUAUUUUAAAGCUACUCAUCUAUUUGCCAUUAGGUUUUCAACUCCAUGGUCUACUUCAGGAAUUAUGGAUGAAACUUUUGCUCGCUGUCCCCAUCGUGUAAUAACGGUUCAGACUAUUGCUCCACAACAUCUUUAAAUGAAAAUAUUAAAUCCACAAGAAGGUGAGGAAAUUAUACCCACCUCCAACAAAUCAGUUUUCUUUGAUAUUCCUGAAAAUCAGUUCACUAAACAUUGAUUUAGAAAGAGACACAAAGAAGAGAGGAGUGUUGUGUGUCUGCCUGUCGGUAGAUGGACUAAUUAUUUCCUGUCCUCACAGCAGUAGGCUGUACAUUUGUAGUUAUAAAGCCAACUAUCUCAAUAACAUGACAAAUGACAAAACACGUGCAUCUGUGCUGUAGAAUACUACAGUAAGCAGUGUUUAGAAACAAUUAUGUUUCAUCAGAGAAAGCCUCUUGAUCUGACAUGCAGUUUCACGCCCUUCCUGACUCAGAAAGCGCCUACUAUACCAUAUGGAUCCGCUUACAUAUUUUAAUCCAUGGACAGAGGAAAAGCCAUGUGUAUAGGGUCCAUUUUCUGUGGAUUCAGCUUACUAACACAGAUGGCAUAUAAAAGCUGCGAUUGCUCACACCACUGCUUUGCAAGUGAAUCAUUACUGGCUUCAAUACAUGCUUGCUCUGAGUCAUAUGAAACAGCAGACAGUGGCAGUAUCUAAAUCGUGCUUGUCAUAAAUAUAAAGGGAAGGGUAAACACCUUUAAAAUCCCUCUUGGCCAGAGGAAAAACCCUUUAACCUGUAAAGGGUUAAGAAACUAGGAUAACCUUGCUGGCAC